UUGCAGUUAAAAAGCUCGUAGUUGGAUUUCUGCGGGGGCGGGGCGGCCGAACGCUUAUAGCGUUUCGAGCUAGCACUUCCCCUGCAUCCUGCCGCGAACCGUGCUACCAUUAGUUUGGUGGCGCCGGGGAUCGGCUCGUUUACUUUGAGAAAAAUAGAGUGUUCAAAGCAGGCCACACGCCUUGAAUAAGUUAGCAUGGAAUAAUGAUAAAGGACUUCGGUUCUAUUUUGUUGGUGUUCGGGACUGAUAGUAAUGAUUGAUAGGGACAGUUGGGGCGGUCCGUAUUCCAAAGCGAGAGGUGAAAUUCUUAGACCUUCGGAAGACGAACAGCUGCGAAAGCGUUCCGCAAGGAUGUUCCCUUUGAUCAAGAACGAAAGUUGGGGGAUCGAAGACGAUCAGAUACCGUCGUAGUCUCAACUAUAAACUAUACCAGCUAGGGAUCGGCCAACGUUUACUUACAUCGACUUGGUCGGCACCUUAUGAGAAAUCAAAGCAUCUGGGUUUCCGGGGGGGAGUAUG
rnacentral:rRNA from 1 species